AUUGAACGCUGGCGGCAUGCCUUACACAUGCAAGUCGAACGGUAACAGGUUAAGCUGACGAGUUGCUAACGGGUGAGUAAUGUAUCGGAACGUGCCCAGUCGUGGGGGAUAACUGCUCGAAAGAGCAGCUAAUACCGCAUACGACCUGAGGGUGAAAGCGGGGGAUCGCAGGACCUCGCGCGAUUGGAGCGGCCGAUAGCAGAGUCGUUAGUUGGUGGGGUAAAGGCUCACCAAGGCGACGCUCGGUAGCUGGUCUGAGAGGGUGACCAGACACACUGGGACUGAGAUACGGCCCAGACUCCGACGGGAGGCAGCAGUGGGGAAUAUUGCACAAUGGGCGGAAGCCUGAUGCAGCAACGCCGCGUGCGGGAUGACGUCCUUCGGGUUGUAAACCGCUUUCGCCUGUGACGAAGCGUGAGUGACGGGAAUGGGUAAAGAAGCACCGGCUAACUACGUG
rnacentral:rRNA from 1 species